rnacentral:lncRNA from 1 species
GGAGGUCGGACGGCGGCGGGAGGACGGCCGGAAGUUUGCUGGGUGUAGAGAGAAGAAAAUCGGGUGGGAGGAGAAGAAAAAUCGGGAGGGAGGGAGAGAGAAAGGAAGAAGAAAUGGGUUGGGCUCGGCCCAGCCGACCCAACAUUCCUUUUAACCCAAAUUUUCAAAAUUCAACACCCCGAAAAAUAAUACCCGAAUAAAAAUUACCUUUUACUAGCUAAAAUUUACUAUUUUUACCGUCGUCGUAUUUUCCUCAUACGAAUAAUCCUCCGCACAUAAUCGUCCCCGAAACCCCUCUAGGGACCAAUUAAACUAUUUACUCAAUGAUCGGGACGGUAAAAAUUCUUAUUAUAAUCACGCUAGUAAAUAAGGUAAAAAUAUAAGGGUCGGGAUGUAUUUAUAUAAAUAUGUAUUUAUGAGACAGAGAAGAUGGAUGGAGUUAAUCAAUUUGUCACAUCCCGGGACCCGCUCCGCCGUAACACGAUAUUGUCCGCUUUGGGCCCACCGGCCCUCACGGUUUUGUUUCCGGCAGCUCAGGAGCAGCUUCCCAGUAGGUCACCCAUCCUGGGAUUGCUCUCGCAUCGACAUGCUUAACCUCGGAGUACCCAUCCCCUCCGAAGCCGUUGAGCCACCAAAAGGCCUCGUAUUAGGUUGGUGGUGGGCAUGUACAUAUACAGCACAUAACCCCCCGCUCCGUUUGGCCGAUGUGGGAUAUUACAAUCCACCCCCCUUGGGAGUCCGACGCCCUCGUCGGCACACUCGCACCACACGGCAGAGUGGCUCUGAUACCAUUUGUCACAUCCCGGGACCCGCUCCGCCGUAACACGAUAUUGUCCGCUUUGGGCCCACCGGCCCUCAUGGUUUUGUUUCCGGCAGCUCAGGAGCAGCUUCCCAGUAGGUCACCCAUCCUGGGAUUGCUCUCGCAUCGACAUGCUUAACCUCGGAGUACCCAUCCCCUCCGAAGCCGUUGAGCCACCAAAAGGCCUCGUAUUAGGUUGGUGGUGGGCAUGUACAUAUACAGCACAUAACCCCCCGCUCCGUUUGCCAAAAUUCUCUGAUACCAACUGACACGACCCACCCCGAAUUUCACCCUGAAACCCAGAGUAAGUCGUGCGGGGACCACCUCCAAGGAAAAUUUACUGAAAAGAUUAAGAAAAUCUCCCUUGCAGAUGGACAACCCUAACUCGAAAAUUUCAUAUUACACUCUUAAUUUAAUGCUUCUGAAUAUCACAUAAAAUACAAAAUUCUAAAGUAUUCAGAGCUACUAAACACAAGCGGAAGCAAGAAAACACGAGUAGGUUGAACAGGUAACCUACUGAUGAAAACUGGCCGAAAAGCGGGUGACUAUGCCUCGUCUCCUACUAGAUCCAACCCGAACUCUGCAGACUGGGCAAUUUAAAACGAAAUGCCCAGGGGAAAACAUUUAAUAACGUCAGAGUGAGUGGACAAAAAUAAAAUAAUAAAUAAAAUAUUUAUGUUUCCCCAAAUUAAUUUCUAAGGAAAAAUCGAAUGCAUGCCGCAAGCGAUAAAACUUUUAUCCUAUAAAUAUCGAGCCUCUCAGACUCUAUAAUAUAUGUAUGUAUUUACACUCGUCCAUACUCCCUAUAUAAAUUCAUGGGUCUAUAUAGGGCUACUACGCUCGCGUCCAACGCUCACGUCACGCCUUAAUGCGGUGCUACACUACGCCAUCAAGGUGGACAGACGGGUGUAUAAAUAUGUGUCCAUACCCCCUAUAUGAAUUAAACACUCAAAUAGGGCUACUACGCUUACGUCCAACGCUCACGUCACACCAUAAUGCGGCUAUAUGCUACGCCAUUAAGGUGGACAGACACAUAUGGCUAGCUAGCAUUUUUAUAC